rnacentral:rRNA from 1 species
UACGUAGGGACCAAGCGUUGUUCGGAUUUACUGGGCGUAAAGGGCGCGUAGGCGGCAUGACAAGUCACUUGUGAAAUCUCCGGGCUUAACUCGGAACGGCCAAGUGAAACUGUCAAGCUAGAGUGCGGAAGGGGCAAUCGGAAUUCUUGGUGUAGCGGUGAAAUGCGUAGAUAUCAAGAGGAACACCUGAGGUGAAGACGGGUUGCUGGGCUGACACUGACGCUGAGGCGCGAAAGCUAGGGUAGCAAACGGG